AGCUGAUGCUCAAUCUUAAAUCAGGAUCUUGAAUUUAUUUGUUUACAACUACUUUUAAAGAACGUAUUCCUGGCCAUUUAAAAAACGAGAGGACAAAACUCAGACAAAUGAAUACGGAGUCGGGUGCUCUUUAAUAAAUGUCGGAAUUUCCUUUUCAUUGGAACCGGUGUUAUUUUCUGUAAUCAACACGGGUAACCAAGUCCCUAAUCCGCCUUAAAAGGAUUACCUACACAUGUGUUUAGACUCCGAAUUUUAACAUAAAACAGGUCCAGUAUUAUAUAUGUCCGUGUGCAUUUGACGAAUAGAGACAUUGCCACUUUCUACCAAUCAAGGAUUUUAUUUUUAACGGCGACGAUUCGCUGGAAGAGAAAGGCGAUGCUUUCGUAGGAUUAAUUAGUGAUUAGUUAAUUUUAUUAGUUAGUAUGGAUGACACACUUAGUGUGGGGGAUACAAUUUGUUUGUAUUCCGCGGAGAGUUUUGGAUUUAUUUUCUCUACCCAGUCCAGCUCUGUGCACAAUGAGGUCGCAGUGGGUUCUCGCCAGGACAGACAAAGGCCAAAUGUACAGGACCAACAGGUGAUUUCCUUUCAUCUGGAGGUCGCUAAUCGGUAUAAACUGAACAAGAAGCUGAGGAAGAUACAGGCCAAAUUAGGAGAUGACCCCGAGAACAUCUCCAUGCGAAAUGCCGUGUCCAGAGCAAAGGCUGCAGCGGACGCAGAAAACGAUGACAACAUUUUGGAACAGAAGAGACAGUUGGGGAAGAAAGUUCUGUAUGGGCAGGUUAUACAGCUCCGCCAUCAAUUUACAAACAAGUAUAUUCAUGUGAGCACGACAAAAACCUCUGAUACAGAAUCCAACAAUAUGGCGGUGGAGCUGAAGGAAGAAAAUUCUAAGCAUGCGCUGUUCCGACUUAUGCCGCGAUAUAAGGUCAAGGCCGAAGGAGAUGUGGUACAAGUUGACGACCAGGUGGUGUUGGAGAGCAUGAAAUCCCCGGGGUCGUUCCUGCACGUGAGCAAACCUCUGCUAGGUCACGGAUCAGUCUACAGCAAAAGCCACGAGCUUAACGUGUCCGUCCAACAGUCCGGAUUUACGAUUAACCGGAAGUACAAGCCCGUAGCCGGGGACGAGACGAAGCUACAGUUCGGAGACAUCAUCCGGUUCUACCACAAGGAGAUGGAGGCCUACCUAGUAGCCGAGGGACUGUUUGACGACGAAAUAUGUGAAGAUGUUCACAUGCGCCUUCGUCCAAUUAACCAAUCCAUUCCUAAGACCAUGUCUCCCAGUACUUCCGCCAUUACGUACUGGCAGAUAGAGCGACAGGAGGGACCGGUGUCUGGAGGAGUUUUGAAAUGGGAACAACAAUGUAAGAUCAUACACAUGUGUACCAGGAAGUAUAUGACGGUCAAGGACGGCCAGGUGACCUUGACAAGCGAUCACCUUGACCCUGCAACUGUAUUUAGACUUCAUCCUGUCAUAAGGGAGAGUGAUGACAUUCCUCCAGACAGCUACUGUAGGAUGGAACACGUAGUCACCGGUCAAUGGCUGCAUGGGGGGUCAGAGACAUACAAGAAGAAACAGUUAGAUGGUGAUGACAACAUACAAUCCAUGGCGGCGUUAAAAUGGACCACGGCCGAGUUCCGAGUGAUCGAGACGAUAGAGGAGAUGCAGUAUGACGACGCGUUCACCAUACAGAAAGUAGACGAGGAGUUAGUCAGAAUCUUCAACCACAUGGCGGGAAUGGUCCCCUUUGUUCAGAAGCUGAUAGCAGACAAAAAGGAAGGACAUGCAUUGAACGCAAAAAUGGCCCAUGAUGCAGAAUCGGCCUUACAAGAGUUAAGUUCGUUCAUGGUAGUGAACGGUCAUCCGAUCAAGAAUAGACAGAAGUUGCUCCGAAACCUCAGGAUUGUUGAGCUGUUGAUAAAGCUUCUACAGAUACCAUUUAGAGGCACGCCUGACCAGUUUCACAUGACCAAGUUAUUUGUGGAAACCUAUCACGUGAUGUACGUGUACCUGAUGGGAGACAGCCGGAAGAACGAGCUCUACAUUGCCAAGUACAUCGACUUCUUCCAGUCCCAGUUCGAGCUCAGAGAGGGUCAAAUUGGUUUGAAUUCUGUUCACAUGGUGAUGGAGUUGAUCCGUGACAACAGAAAAAUCGUGGACAGAAUUUCCCACGAACACAUCGACAACUUCGUCGGUCUUCUACAGAGGGACAAGAACCACCGAUAUCUGGACUUACUGGAGGUCCUGUGUGUGUGUGACGGCGUGUCUAUUGCCGACAACCAGCGCUAUAUAACGGAAGUCUGGCUAAUGAAAGGCGGCAGGAACUGUGUGUACUACACUGACCUUGGACAGAAGAUCGGCAAGGAGAAGGAUGUUGUGUACGUGUCCACCACCCAGGGCCGCACCUGGACAGAGCUCGCCCAGUUCGCCCUGGGCAACACCAGCGAGGCUUACCUGUUCCUGGAACACCAGCUCGAGCUCUUCAGAUACCUGUGUCACGGUCAAAACGACUUUUCGAUCAAUGUGAUCACACAGGAGUUGAACUAUUUGACCUGGGAGGAGGCGUUCACCUGCCUGAGUGACGAACGACUACCGGACAAACUCCGCUCCCAGUACUGUGACCUCAUUAUCACCAUGUUUGUGGAUAUUGGUGACAACCACUCAGUAGUAGACCGGGUCAAGCUUUGUUACAUCUAUGACGACAUUGACUCAGCCGAGAACUCCCGGUUAGAUAAUAAUAGGGAAACUGUAGAUAAUUCGCUGUCAAAGACCAAUAAGUAUUUCCCAAUUCUCUGCGAGUGGAUCUCGCAUUUUCUCGCGAGCAAUGGCGACAUGACCGCCUCAACGAUCGGAAACAACUUACUCGUCAAACAGGUACUGCGACUGGUGGACCAUUUGGUGUCGUUUGGAUUUUACUACAAACCCGAGGACAUCAAAAAACUGCUGGAGCCACUGAUGUCUCUAAUUGACGGCAGGAACGACAAACCGUACCCUAAUGUCACAGGGAAAGACGCAGACGACAUACUUAAAGCUUUCAGAACGAAAGAGAGAUUUGAGCGAAGCGAGGAAACUUCCGCCAUUGUCCAGGCAAAAGUCCAAGCUUUAGACACUCUUGACCUUUUCUUCAACUACAUAUUCAACCUAAGAAUGGAGAAAUUUAUGAGCAUGUUUAAGGUGACACACACACAGGCUAACCACCCCAACAGCUCGGCGCCAGAGCUGGGUCCCCUUCUGUCAGAAAAUUUUGACUUGCACUCGCAGCAAAGUGUCUGCAAAAGUGCUCUUAGGAAGCUGAGAGACAUAUUUGAGCAUACAUCCUUCUUUAAGAACUAUGAUGUCUUGGACAUACUUCAGGACCUGUCGUUCUACCACUACGAUGAGAUGAUCAGAAUGUCCAUGCACCUUCUGAACAGAUACUUCUCAGCUUACCAUCAGUUGUUCAGAAACACAGUGCAAGCUCAGGUUGUGAUCACAGACAAGUCGGUGGCUUUGGUGGAGUCCUUGGAGACCAUACUCCCCAACCUCCGGCGGCUGUCGUCUGCUAAACUCGACAAACAGCAGACGGAGGACCUCGUGUCCAUGUUGGAUAAACUCAUUUUAAUGUGUCAUCUUGAAAAUGAGCCAGAAGAGGCACACGCUAUGAACCAAAGUAUUCUUUACAAUCACGGAGUGGUCGAGGACAUGUUUACAAUUCUGCAGCAGGAGGUGGACGUCCGUUUGCUAGAUCAGUACACGGGACAGAGAAGGGUAUUACAGCGCGCAUUUACUCUGCUGCGACUGAUGGCGCGAGACAACAAACUGGUGCAGGGUCGUCUCUUUGACCGCUUUGACAUGCUUCUGUCGAAGAGUGGAGCGGAACAAGAGCUAGCAGAGUGCCUCACCGAGGUCUUUACCGGAAACUCAAACACUUGCAUGAAGAUCACAAGUAACAAGGUUCAUAAGAUCAUGAACCUGGUCACAGUUCACAAAGAGGCUGUGCCCCAGUUACUGGAUUUAUUGAAUGCUAUUGUGAAGGUGGAGGAGCUGGACCUUCCGUUAAAGAGGAAUCAGAGUUUUGUGAUGCAGUAUUUCAUGCAGUACAGGGCCGACAUAGCGCACGUGAUAGAUCAAGAUGAGAAUGCAAGAGUACAGAUUUUAGUGAACUCCGGAAGUACGUCAUUACAAUACUUGAUAUCCAUGGUAGACAUGCUGGCUACGUGUGCGGAGGGCGAGAAUAGGCACAUCGAGUCCAUUUGUCAGACCAUCUUCAGCAUCCCUGAACUGCUCAAGAUACUGACCAAUGAGCGGAUCUGUGACAACUUCAAGCUGCCCUUCCUCCGCUUCUUCCUGUGGGUGUACCUCAACACUGCGGGGGGCAUGAUAGAGAGCGGCGCGGGGGACAUGCCGCACGAGAAGUUGAUAUGGGUGUACAUUUCUGAGAUAAUGGGCACAUUGGCCAGUGUGACAAAGUAUGCACAGGAUCAACCAGAAAUAACCAAGAUGCUUCUGAAAUCAACUCCACCGAAGAGUGAUAUAAGGGGAGACAAGAAGGAAGAAAUGAAAGGAACUCUUCACUAUAUGUUCGAUGGCGUCAUGCCCUUUCUCCAGAUUUUCUGUCGUUCAUUUUACCAACCUGACGCGUCUGCGUUUCCGGAAGAGCCAGAGCAAAUGGAUAAACUUGCGAAUUCAUUCAAGGGGUUCCUGGAGGUUGUGGCACCGCUGGUAUCUAUUGAGAGACAAAUGAAGAAUCUGGUGGCGUGUAUGACGUCACUACUCUCCGCUUCUACUCUUCCGGUCGAUAUAAUGGAGGAAUUUCAUGAAAAGUACGGAGGGGCAGUGGGAGCCCAUGAUAUCCGUAGUGAUGCACGAAAGGAGUAUGAAUCUUACUAUGAAAUGGAGGAGGAAAUCAACAGACAGCUGAAUGUGUUUUCGGUCAACAUGAGGGUCGCGUACGGCGGACCCAACACCGUGGAGGCGCAGAUUGACUACAACUCUAACGCCGUUUACUCCGAGGUGGGAGGGGACGAGGAGUUACCCCUGGGGCCGGAGUUUCAAGAUCAUUUACGAUGUUUCGUGGACACCAGUAAAAAGGAUCCAGUUGACCGCUACAGGAUGAGUGAGAAACUCAUCCGCCAGUUAGAAAUAUCGCAUAAACUGACACAUCUCAGCGAAAAGGAAAAGUUAGAACAAGUGGAACUGGAUGUUAAAUGUCUGAAGUUGUUAAGGGCAUUAAUCUACAAUGAGGCUGUCAAACUUCCGGCAGACUGGGAAACGGAAACAUACACGCAUCGAAAAAAAUUAAAAGCUAUAUCAGAUGUUCAGGACACCCUCAAUCAUUUUGACGUCAUUGCCAGCGUCAUCGAGCACUUGAAUUGUCCACAGGAUGACGUUGUUCGAGAAACACUCGCCUUUUUAUGUAUGCUUCUGUACAAUGGGAACGAGAACGUUCAGAGCAAAAUGUUUGAAUAUUUUACGGGUACACGAGAAGAGUCGUUUUUCUUCACCCUGAAAAUCCGCAUGCAGAUGUCAGCGAUCGCUACCCGAGAAAGGCGCCUCCUUCACGCGAUGUACCAGUCCAAAGUGGAGGAAGCAGUGCAGCAGGCAAAGGCCCUGCAGAAAGCCAUGGCGAGCGGCAAAAUGGCGCAGACUGAAAUUCUGAAGGCAAACCGUCUAGGCUCAAUGCUUUCGAUGGCCAAAACCUCCAUGACAAACUUACGGCCCGCCAGUAACAUGCUAUCUCCAAGACCAGCAUCACGAUUUGGCGCCAAAUCAAAGCUCGGUGGACCCAUGAGCCGCGAGAACACGCUGCUCUUCACUCGGGGGAAUGCCAUGAUGGAGAACAACUUUCUACAGCCCCCUACCUUAACCGUAAAUGGUAUCAAGAAAUCCACAACCCACUUAAAUGGCAGCUUGAAUGGGUUUGGCAAUCAAAAGACAAAGGUUGCUCCGAUGGAUGAUGCACCCCAAAUUCAAAUCGAGAAAGUAGAAGAGGAGGAACUGAAGGAACUACUCGGGGCUGCGAUGACCAUGACGGGAGAUUUCACGUUCAAAGACGACGGCUACAUUGAACUAGUUCUGAGGAUGUUGGGACUCAUGUGUGACAACCAGCACUCUGAUAUACAGAACUACAUCCGGGACCAGUUUGACAACAUCAAGUCUGUGAACUUGGUGGCUGAGACGACAAAGUUCCUGAACAUUCUGUACUCCAACAUCAACGAACAAACCAUGCCACUGGUCGUACAGCUGUUUGACACGCUCGUCGAGUUCACUUCCGGAAACCAGAAGAACCAGUCUGUAGUGUUUGAAAACAAAGUGUGUGAUUAUAUCAACCACGUCUUAAGAAUAGGACAGUACGGGAACUGUGGUAUAAAUGAGGAGUAUAUAUUAAAAAAGUCAAUAGCUGUUCUGAUACGAUCGUUGACAGAAGAAAACACGGAGGAGGACGAGGAUGAAGUUGUAUCGAAGAGUUUAUUUAUAAACUACCACGAAAGAGAAAUGUCCAGUAUGUCCUGGCAGAGCAAAGAACAGGAAAUCAUGGAAUAUCUAGAUGAGGAUCUCUGUGUUUCAACAAUGACGGAAGCUUUUUCAAAAGCAAUGGAAAUGCUAAAAGCUCCAUCAACAACAAAGAGAAAUGAAGAAUUUGUUGAGCUGUAUGAGCUAAUAGAAACAACUGGGUUUGCGUACUUCCACAUUGUUUGUCGAAAAUUUGACAUGAAUCCAUCUUUGGAACAAGAAACGCUGGUGAAGACAGAUGUACAAAAAACGGCUUUUGAAUACUAUAAAACAAACAGUUAUUCGAUCGAGAUUUUGAAGGACGACGUUUUACAAAAAGUUUACUUCCGGGUCAAAGAUAAGAACGUUUUGAGGGAGGAAAUCAAAGAUAAGUUUAAGUACGAAGUGGACAGGACCACGCCUAGUAACAAGAUCCGGGACUUUAUGGACUGGGCCAGUGACAUCAUCCAAGACAUCAAGUACCAGCGUAAGAUCCGGUCCAUCAUUGUAGGGAGGAUGCUGCUCAAACUUUGGCUUCCAAUGAACUAUGCCGCGCUGUUUCUGAGUUUCGUCAUCUGCAGCGUCAUUAUGGUCACGUGGAGAGAUCCUAAGAACGCUGACGGGACCUCAAACACUGGCAGCGUGAUUCCCGAGUUUGACUUCGACAGCACCAGUUAUUACCUGUUUCUAUACAUCGUUGGUGGCACUCACAAUUUUCUGAGUCUGUGCAUUCUGGUGACGUUUCUUAUCUCAAAUCAACCCACAUUUCCUUUAUAUACCUGGAUAAAACAGAAGAUAUCGUCGGAGAAGGACGACCAGGAUGACGAUUCUCACCGAUCGUGGCACGAGAAGAAAAAGGAUCAAUCUCAUCUAGAGUUUGAAAUAUACAAUGUGUAUACCAUAUACUACUUUUUGUUUUUCGCGUGCUCAGUACUGGGUACCGUUUAUUACGGCUAUUUCUUCUGCUUCCAUCUGCUCCAUUUGGCAGAACUAAACCAACUGUUAAAGAGGGUCCGACAAGCCGUCACUACAAAUGGUAAAUCUUUGUUGAUGGUGGCCCUCCUCGGUCUGGCCAUCUUCUUCUGUUACUCCCUGGUGGCGUUCGCCGUCCUGAGGGAGAGGUAUUUCCUGGAGUCGGCGGGGCGCCACUGUCGGACAGUCUACCAGUGCUUCGUCACCAUGAUCCACCACGGCUUCGUGGAUACGCCCUACACGACAUUUGAGGGCAUGAUGAACAAUAAUUACACUGACGUCAUAGAACUGACGAUUAUCGACGUCACGUUCUUUAUUCUCAUCACCACAAUUGGAUUGAACAUCAUCUUUGGUAUCAUUGUGGAUACAUUCUCUCAGCUUCGUGAUGCUAAGUGGGAGAUAGACAAAGACAUGAUGAACAACUGUUUCAUCUGCAGCAGAGAAUCCUAUGAUUUUGAGAGACACGGAGGGGGUUUUGAGAACCACGUCAAGACAGAGCAUUAUCAGUGGGCGUACCUGUUCUUCUUCAUCCACCUGACGGAGACACGACCAAACGACUUCUCCGCCCUGGAACUCUACGUCUACAAUCUGCUGGAUAGAAAUAUUUACGAUUUCUUCCCUUUAAACCGAGCGCUGAGUUUACAAAACGAAGAGGAUCAAAUUCUGAUUUUUGUUUUUCGCGUGCUCAGUACUGGUACCGUUUAUUACGGCUAUUUCUUCUGCUUCCAUCUGCUCCAUUUGGCAGAACUAAACCAACUGUUAAAAGAGGUCCGACAAGCCGUCACUACAAAUGGUAAAUCUUUGUUGAUGGUGGCCCUCCUCGGUCUGGCCAUCUUCUUCUGUUACUCCCUGGUGGCGUUCGCCGUCCUGAGGGAGAGGUAUUUCCUGGAGUCGGCGGGGCGCCACUGUCGGACAGUCUACCAGUGCUUCGUCACCAUGAUCCACCACGGCUUCGUGGAUACGCCCUACACGGUGGCGCUGGUGAAGACAGAUAUACAAAAAACGGCUUUUGAAUACUAUAAAACAAACAGUUAUUCGAUCGAGAUUUUGAAGGACGACGUUUUACAAAAAGUUUACUUCCGGGUCAAAGAUAAGAACGUUUUGAGGGAGGAAAUCAAAGAUAAGUUUAAGUACGAAGUGGACAGGACCACGCCUAGUAACAAGAUCCGGGACUUUAUGGACUGGGCCAGUGACAUCAUCCAAGACAUCAAGUACCAGCGUAAAAUCCGGUCCAACAUUGUAGGGAGGAUGCUGCUCAAACUUUGGCUUCCAAUGAACUAUGCCACGCUGUUUCUGAGUUUCGUCAUCUGCAGCGUCAUUAUGGUCACGUGGAGAGAUCCUAAGAACGCUGACGGGACCUCAAACACUGGCAGAUCGUCGGAGAAGGACGACCAGGAUGACGAUUCUCACCGAUCGUGGCACGAGAAGAAAAAGGAUCAAUCUCAUCUAGAGUUUGAAAUAUACAAUGUGUAUACCAUAUACUACUUUUUGUUUUUCGCGUGCUCAGUACUGGGUACCGUUUAUUACGGCUAUUUCUUCUGCUUCCAUCUGCUCCAUUUGGCAGAACUAAACCAACUGUUAAAGAGGGUCCGACAAGCCGUCACUACAAAUGGUAAAUCUUUGUUGAUGGUGGCCCUCCUCGGUCUGGCCAUCUUCUUCUGUUACUCCCUGGUGGCGUUCGCCGUCCUGAGGGAGAGGUAUUUCCUGGAGUCGGCGGGGCGCCACUGUCGGACAGUCUACCAGUGCUUCGUCACCAUGAUCCACCACGGCUUCGUGGAUACGCCCUACACGACAUUUGAGGGCAUGAUGAACAAUAAUUACACUGACGUCAUAGAACUGACGAUUAUCGACGUCACGUUCUUUAUUCUCAUCACCACAAUUGGAUUGAACAUCAUCUUUGGUAUCAUUGUGGAUACAUUCUCUCAGCUUCGUGAUGCUAAGUGGGAGAUAGACAAAGACAUGAUGAACAACUGUUUCAUCUGCAGCAGAGAAUCCUAUGAUUUUGAGAGACACGGAGGGGGUUUUGAGAACCACGUCAAGACAGAGCAUUAUCAGUGGGCGUACCUGUUCUUCUUCAUCCACCUGACGGAGACACGACCAAACGACUUCUCCGCCCUGGAACUCUACGUCUACAAUCUGCUGGAUAGAAAUAUUUACGAUUUCUUCCCUUUAAACCGAGCGCUGAGUUUACAAAACGAAGAGGACUCUAAUGAACGAAAAGUGGAGAUUUUGCGUGUGCAAGUGGAUUACAUGGUGAACAAGAUGAGAGAAGAGGAAGCUGAAAAGGAGCGACAAAAAGAAAAGGAUCGACAGCUGGCCUGGGAAGCUGAACAUAAGAAAUUCACCAAACGGGUGGCAAAAAGCGCCAAAAGACGCUAAAAACACGCCGCUACAAGAAAUCAAUCAAGAAACGCUUUACAGUAUUAACCAAUGAAAAGUACAUGCAAGAAAUAAAGAUAUGCAUCUCAUAAGUAUCCAAUCGAAAGAGUCUACUUGCGUAACCAAUUGAAAGAAACUAAUUAAAAAUAAAAGGUAAAAUUGGUUUCACUUAAAUAAACGAAAGAAAGCUACAUCUCUCAAUGUUCAACCAGAGUAGAGAGAAAACAGGGAGGCUAUUUCAUACAUAUAUGAUUAUUUUUAUUGGUUAUAUUUUAUUUUAACUAUCUUCUUUUUUUUUACACAGAACUCUAUUGUUCAAAUGCUCAAAUCUGCUUGUGUCUUACAUUGUUGUCCAUCGUUGCAUUUAUCUAGAAAUUGAAUUUAAAAAUUCGAGAUUUUUGCCAGAAUUUUAAAAUACAAUUCUAGCAACUGAACAAAAGGGAUAUUAUAUAUUUGACAAAUGUAUAUUUUGAUAUGAAAUUGUUAUAAAUAUUAUUUUACACUCUAUGUUUUAUCUAUUGUUUUUGAACAACUGUUUUAUCCGUCC
rnacentral:sRNA from 1 species